AUGCUCCCUUCAGCAUCAAAUGUACUAAAACUGGAACGAUACAGAGAAGAUUAGCAUGACCUCUGAGCAAAGAUGACAUGAAAAUUCAUGAAGCUUUUCAUAUUUGU